UGUUACAGCUAAAAUACUAGUAGGCCAGCUACAUAGUUGUCUGCAGUGAUAACAGAAUAUUGUUGGCGAACGAUCAAUGAUGAUGCGCCAUGGCACCAGGUACAAUCAUAGCCGUCUGUUAGUCAGUAAGGUCUAAAAUAAAACAUUUCAUAACCAAGGUUUCAAGUCUGACCAAUGUAGACGUUAUAGAACUGCCUGACAAUGAUCUUGGAUUCGAUCAUCUUUCAGGAUUUGAUGGUGUAAUAGUCUGUCAUUCUGUCAGCACUUGUCACUUAGCAGUGGAUGAUGUUGUGGACAUUCUAUUCGACAAGUUCCUGCUCACAUUCACGAAAAACUCUGGCGCAACUAAUGUCUGUAUUAUUGUUCAUGAUUUCCCUAUGGGACCAUCCGACUCGUCUCUGGAGGAUCAUGCUACGAUUAAGGGUGCUUAUACGAAGAGCUUCCAGAGCAAACUAUCCUCAACCUUUGAUCAUGAGCAUGGUGAUUGUCCUCAUAAGUUAUUGGUCUGUGGUAGAUUGGACAACCAGGUGGACAUGGAUGAAGCAGAGUGGACACAACUUGAAGACUUUGUGAGACAGUGUCAGAUGCAGUCAGCAUCCGCAGAAGCUUCCAAGAGGGCCAGCCACGUCAGAUUGUUCAGAAUGUUUCUGAUGCAACUAUUGAUGGUAAUCUUAGCAGGGACGUUCCUUGUGGUUGUAUUGACUAUCAAACUGUACCGUAGUUUGGGGACUGCUGGGGUAUCAAUCUUCAUAAUAUCAUUGAUUAGCAUAUUAUACCAUUGUUACAUUAAAGAUCAGGCAUCUCAACUCAUAACGAAAUGUGGAUUUGGGGUUAUUAUGGUAGCAGUAACUUACUUUAUCUAUCUUCUGAUUAACAAUGUGUGCAGCAUGUAGUUAAUCCGAAAUGUAUUGUAGGCCUACUGCGCAACUGACUGCUCUUAAAUCAUAAUUAUGAAAAAUGUUACUAUCUCUCAAAUCUUAAUGAACAUGUACAUAUCAAAGACGAAGUAGUAAACAAUAACAAUGUCUUAUUAAAUAUCAUUUUGUUCCCUAACCCAUGGAAGACUAGCCUUUUGCCAAGGCACUCGGCUCUGAUAUUUGAAAAAAAAUGCGUCUGAAUACAUAGAUUAGCAUCCGAGGCGCGGUCCAGCCAUCACUCCUGUUAACGCACAUUGCCCUAGUCUAUUUUCCAAACCCUAUAUCGGGCGGACAAGUAGCGCGCAAGGACUUGCCCAAAUGCUAAUGAAAGACAAGCAGCAACAGCUGGAAAUGGAAUAUCGACCUAUAUUUUCCUUUCAAUGUGUACUUUUGAUUGAAUACAUGUAUGUAUCUUUUGUGUCCCGAUUUAUUUAUUUUCAUUAUUUUUUACAGGGGAUGCUGAUGUAAAUUUGACAAGCAAAAAAAAGGUUUCACGACAAAAUGAAGGUCAUUUUGGUCAUGAGAAAUUUGACAAGCAAAAAAAAGGGUUUCACUCCAAAAUGUACGCUUCCCAGGGCCAUGAUGAAGACCCUUUAAAUUGUUAAAUUUUCAAAAGAUUAGCAUCAAAAGGAGUGUGAACCAAUUGCUAUACGUCCGCAGCCUCUUUCUUCCUGUCACGCCUAUAUAAACCCAGGAAAAAGGAACAAACAACAAGAACCUCUCUUGUAUUUGAAUUUAUGCAAUAACGAGAAAGAAAAGUUUAAAAUUAAUAUUGAUUUAAGAUAGCAUGAAACAAAUUUCACUAUAGCCUAUUUUUUCAAAUUUCCUGCACUUAAUAUUUUCAGCUGUUUUACAUUGUAAUUUAUGGUAAUUUUGUAGUGCUAAUUUACUGAAAACUCGGGGUUUAUUGGUACUUUACCAAAAGGUUUUGAGAUUUUUUAUUGAUAUUUUGAACACUACUUUGAAACGAAUCAGGGAUUACAAUUUUGUAGAUUUAAAAGUUAAUCGCAACAUGUGUAAUUUGCACGAAUACCAAUGUCGUGAUGGUGUUCAUCCAUGUUAAAAUAGUGUUAUUAUAAUAAGAUUAUGAGAAUGUUAUAGGAUUAAUUAUGUACGGACUAUAGGCCUUGAAAAAGGGCCAAAUGCAUAAAAUUUGCCCUUUCUGUCGUUUUCCCUUUUCUUUUAUUUUCCCUGGCCAUUAUUGUUGGAAUUUGCUUGAAUAAUAAUGCAUAGAAAUAAGAUAUUUAUUAAGAGGGUAACUAGGGUUAGAUAGCACUUUGCUUAUGUUCGCACGAGCGCCAAUCAUUAGUUGGGUUUGUUGAUUAAAAGCGGAGCGUUGUGGCCCAGUGGAUUCGUCUUCGGACUUUGAAACAGAGGGUCGUGGGUUCGAAUCCCAGCCAUGGCGUAAUUUCCUUCAGCAAGAAACUGAUCCACAAUGUGCUGCACUCAACCCAGGUGAGGUAAAUGGGUACCGGUAGGAAGUUAUUCCUCAAGAAGCUGUGUGCGCUAUGAACGCCUAGCUUAGCCGGGUAAUAUAGGAGCGCCUUGAGCACCUAACAAGGUGGAUAUGUGCUAUAUUAUUUAAAAAAAAAACAAUAGCGACAUCUCUCUGAUCGGAAGGGUAAUUCCGGAUUUACAUCUCGGUAUUCUAUUCAUGAUAAAUGGUCAGUGUUUGAUUCUUACAGUUCCUUGACGAAUCAAAAGCAAAGCAAGUUUUUAUGCUAAUAUUUAUAAGUGGUAUCAUUUAUGCAAUGGUGUGAAGUAAUACCUAACCCUCUGCUUGUUUCUAUGCUCAAAUAAAAAGCUUGGAAGCAAUUAUCAUGUUUUAUGAAUUCAGUAUGAUAAUUAUGAUAUAGUUCUAGAUUAAAAGAUUUGGACACUGAAAAUCUGAUCAAGAUCAAUAUCGGAUGUAAAAUAAAGUUACGAGAGCUUUUAUCUCAAAUUCUACACAAUA